rnacentral:rRNA from 1 species
AGUCUUAAUUGGGCGUUAAGUUGCAGGGUAUAGACCCGAAACCCGGUGAUCUAGCCAUGGGCAGGUUGAAGGUUGGGUAACACUAACUGGAGGACCGAACCGACUAAUGUUGAAAAAUUAGCGGAUGACCUGUGGCUGGGGGUGAAAGGCCAAUCAAACCGGGAGAUAGCUGGUUCUCCCCGAAAGCUAUUUAGGUAGCGCCUCGUGAAUUCAUCUCCGGGGGUAGAGCACUGUUUCGGCUAGGGGGCCAUCCCGGCUUACCAACCCGAUGCAAACUGCGAAUACCGGAGAAUGUUAUCACGGGAGACACACGGCGGGUGCUAACGUCCGUCGUGAAGAGGGAAACAACCCAGACCGCCAGCUAAGGUCCCAAAGUCAUGGUUAAGUGGGAAACGAUGUGGGAAGGCCCAGACAGCCAGGAUGUUGGCUUAGAAGCAGCCAUCAUUUAAAGAAAGCGUAAUAGCUCACUGGUCGAGUCGGCCUGCGCGGAAGAUGUAACGGGGCUAAACCAUGCACCGAAGCUGCGGCAGCGAACGUAUCACCCAAGACAACUUUACGGAGUUGACGAUUGACGGAGCGAAGCGACGUCAAAGCGUUCAUUAAAGUCGAGUUGGCUUA